rnacentral:rRNA from 1 species
GACAGAGGGUGCAAACGUUGUUCGGAAUCACUGGGCGUAAAGCGUCUGUAGGUGGUUUAAUAAGUCAACUGUUAAAUCUUGAGGCUCAACCUCAAAAUCGCAGUCGAAACUAUUAGGCUAGAGUAUAGUAGGGGUAAAGGGAAUUUCCAGUGGAGCGGUGAAAUGCGUAGAGAUUGGAAAGAACACCGAUGGCGAAGGCACUUUACUGGGCUAUUACUAACACUCAGAGACGAAAGCUAGGGUAGCAAAUGGG